AUUCUAUGUUUAAAUCUUUUUGUGUAGAGGAUGCUCAAACCCUUUUAUCAGGAUCUCAACCCCUUGUCUAUUGGUACUGGACCUCUGGAAGAGAUAAGUUUGAUUUCAUUGAUUGCAGAGGGAAUGUUUGUGAAAAAUUCAAAUUGUGCAAUAUAGCCAACAACCUGCAGUUUAUGAUAAUGCACAAUUUAUGAUAAUGAUAUUAUAUUGAUCAUUAAUGUAAUGCAUGUAUUGUACAUGCAGGAUAUACCGUAAAUCUCCAAAUAUAAGCCCCCCAUGUAUAAGUCCCC